GAUGAACGCUAGCGGCAAGGCCUAACACAUGCAAGUCGAGCGAUCUUCUUCGGAAGAGAGCGGCGGACGGGUGAGUAACGCGUGGGUAACCUGCCUCAUACACAUGGAUAACAUACCGAAAGGUAUGCUAAUACAAGAUGACAUAAGAGAUUCGCAUGGAUUUCUUAUCAAAGCUCCGGCGGUAUGAGAUGGACCCGCGUCUGAUUAGCUAGUUGGUAAGGUAAUGGCUUACCAAGGCUUCGAUCAGUAGCCGACCUGAGAGGGUGAUCGGCCACAUUGGAACUGAGACACGGUCCAAACUCCUACGGGAGGCAGCAGUGGGGAAUAUUGCACAAUGGGCGAAAGCCUGAUGCAGCAACGCCGCGUGAGCGAUGAAGGCCUUCGGGUCGUAAAGCUCUGUCCUCAAGGAAGAUAAUGACGGUACUUGAGGAGGAAGCCCCGGCUAACUACGUG
rnacentral:rRNA from 1 species